rfam:Brachypodium distachyon strain Bd21 chromosome 3, whole genome shotgun sequence.
UUUGUACUCCCUCCGUCCAACAAAGGAUGUUCCAAUUUGACAAAUUUGAAUGCAUCUAUACAUUAAGUCAUGUCUAGAUACAUCCAAAUUUUGACAAAUUUGAGACAUCUUUUGUUGAAGGAGGAAGUAUCAA